GUAAGUUACACUCUAAAAUGUUGGGUUGUUUGGAUGACCCAAUUGCUGGGUUGCUGGCAUUGGGUCAAUAGAUGGGUUGUUUUCUGUAAAUACAGCAAGGUUGGGUUCUUGGUGCUGUGUUAUCGAUAUUUGACCGAGCCAGUGGGUUAAUUCUCACGCCACCAGCGUGUGAAAUCCACCAGAAUACUUGCAAGUAUUCUAGUUCUAACGCGACUGAGUGACUGACGAGUGGAAAACGGCUAAAGUUAUUUCGACAGACUAAAUGUUUUUGGUUGACUGAAAACCAUUGCAAAUUAUGAAUUUGAUGGUCCUUCAGGUAAAAUAGGUUGUCCUAUCAUAAUAAGAGUCAAAUGUGAGAGGGCAUCCCAGAUGACCAAGUGACUGAACAAAAUCUGGCCUGCAAACCAGGAACAUGAAGGAGACUGCGAUCCAGAGGGCUCAGUGGACCAGACAGAAUGGGGCCAAGACAGUCAAAGAGCCAUUCCAGACUCUGAAAUCAGGAGGACUUCAAGAAUUAGGUGUUAGUCAGACUAGUGAUUGACUAGUGAUUGACUGCAAUGGAAAAGUAAUUGUUUGUCAACAAAAUAACACAAUUUUAAGUAGUAUGGUGCAGAGUCUCACAAGCAUUAGAAACAGCAGUGGGUGUGAAUACGGUGGGAACAUGUGGAUCUGAGCAAGUGUGAUGUCAUUAAGAUUGCUCAGGACUUCUACAUUUUAAACCUGGACUGCUUGUGGAAACUCACUGAUAACUGGAUCACAGUCUUCAAGGACAAAAAAACUUUGCUUCGCCAGUCCAGAGAGAAGCAGGCCCAAGAUUUUCUCUUCAAAGUGCAAGUAUUGUUUGAAAUGACCCUGCUGGUGGUGCCUCAGAUGCUCAGUUAUAAUCAAGUUAUUCACUAAACAUUCAUCUCUCCAGAUACACAAGGUGACGUCACUUGAAGACGUCACUUUAAGACUAUUAGUGGUCCUCCCAACACCAGUCUACAAGAUAGGCAGGAAGACAUUCCGACCCAGCUUCAAUGAGACCAGAAAGUCCUUCAUUGACUUGCAGCCUUGCAUGCAUUCAACAACCUUUGGGACGAAGGACUUCCACAGGGCCACCAUCUCCAAAGUUCACUCAAAAAAAAGGGCAUAGUUCUGAACUGUGUUUGAUUUCGUUUUUGUUGUUUUAAUUAAUAAAACAUUUUUAAUUAUCUUUUUAAACUUCCAUUGGUUGAAAUCUAUUGCUCAGUUAUCACUUGGCUCAUGUAAAUAAUUAUGUAGUUGUCCCUUUAAACAUCCUAAGGUCAUCAUCCCCAUAGUGUUCCCAUUUCUCUCACUCAUAAAUGUUGUAGAUCAAUAAAAAUAUUAAAUAAACAAUUUAUUUGGGAAAUAUGCAGUCUUC
rnacentral:lncRNA from 1 species